AGCAGCGAAGCGCGCGACAGCGGCAGCGACGGCCCCGGCAGCGGCUCCCACAGCGGCGGCGGCCGGGGGCGGGAGGAAGGAGACCCUGGCUUCCCAGGGGGCCCGGCUGGGGCAGACGCGCGGGGCCUGGGGGGGCGCUGGCUUUGGGCCCGCCUGGGGCAGGAUGGUGAAUCUGCAGCCCAUGCACACAGGUAUCAAGAUGAGUGGAGAUGUAGCAGAUUCCUCGGAUGCACACAGCGCUCUCAGCCAGGUGGAGACAGGAAAUGAUCGAAAUGGCUUAGAUUUCAACAGGCAG